rnacentral:misc_RNA from 1 species
GAUGAAAACGUAGCGAAAUGCGAUAAGUAAUGUGAAUUGCAGAAUUCAGUGAAUCAUCGAAUCUUUGAACGCACAUUGCGCCCCUUGGUAUUCCGAGGGGCAUGCCAGUUCGAGCGUCAUUAUAACCCCUCAAGCUCAGCUUGGUGUUGGGGCCUGCUGCACUGGCAGCCCUUAAAAUCAGUGGCGGCGCCAUCUGGCUCUAAGCGUAGUAAUUCUUCUCGCUAUGGAGUCCUGGUGGAUGCUUGCCAUCAACCCCCAAUUUUUCUAUGGUUGACCUCGGAUCAGGUAGGGAUACCCGCUGAACUUAAGCAUAUCAAUAAGCGGAGGA